ACGGUUAAAUCACGCUGAAACACCGGUUCUCGUUCGAUCACCGAACUUAAAAGAUUCGUAGAGCCAGGUCAGUAUAAUGGGGGGACCGCUUGGGAACACCUGGUACUGUAA